CCCUAGCCGUGAUAGUAACGGUUACCCCGCAACACGGAGCUGGAGAGUGAAAGGCUUUGAGCGUUGGCAUGGGUUGGCGUGAGGAGUAUGAGUGGAUAGCGCGAUUAAGC
rnacentral:misc_RNA from 1 species